rnacentral:lncRNA from 1 species
UCAGCAAUACUAGUCUUCAUCACAAUCUCUCUUUCUUUUCCUUUAAUCUCUCUCUCUGAAUUUCUAUGAAUCAUGAAUUGCAUAUGCCUCUCUUAGUUUUCCAGCUCUCACUAUUACAACAACAUUACUUUUCUGCCACUACAUUACCUCAAUGCAUUUACAACUAUAGUAUUUAAAGGCAUUUACUUAACUAACUGUAACCACCUUGUCAUAACUAACUUGACCAAAGGUAGUUAUAACAACUCUUAAACAUAACUAACUUUAUGAUUUGAGGCACACAUUCACACUUAUUUUACAAUUCAGCAACCCUUUUGGCUCUUAAAUCCCCUCUUUGGAGGCGUUUGAUCCCACCAAUCUACUCAUGUGGAAAAUCACUUUUAGUCUCCAUAUCACUUCAAAUAAAUAAAAUAUAAUUUUUAAAGAUGAGAUAGUCUCUUUAUUUAUCAAUUGUUUUAUUUGUCAAAAACCCAAUUUUUCAUUAUAAAAUAUCGUGUAUUUUCAAUAUACCGAACCAUAAGUCUCAUUUAUGAUUUUUUGGAGUUUAAAAUCGAAAAUGAUACUCACUUAGUUGGGUCUUUAUCUUGAAACCCAACGUCAUUUUUCAAAACUUUUUCAAUGGCAUCAUAUAUAUAGAGUAGCUAGAGUCAUGUUAUUAAUGUUCAAAUGAAAAUUAAUAUACAUGUUUAUGUUAUUGUCAGAAAGGCCUAUGUAUUAUUUUGCUCAUAUAUAAUAAAUUGAAUGAUAGGGUUUAUACAAGAUUUGGUUGUAUCAGUUUAUCUUAGUUCUUAUAAGUGAAACUUUAAUUAAAUGAUCAGGAGUAUCCUUUUUAGUAUGAAACAUGGUUCUCCAAUCUAAAUCAUUAUGGAAAAUAUCAUCAUAGUUAGAAAAACGGCAUAAACAUAAAAAUUAAAGAAUACACAAUUUUUUUUUCCUAUUGCACUUAAGCUGCUAUGGGCCAAGAAGUGCAUUUGUUGCCAAUCUAAGAAAAAAACUAUUCCUUACUCCCCACAAUUAUACCUUUACUCUAUAAUUAACCUAAAUUUUAUAUUCAGUUAUUUCUAAUAAAAAUUUGCUCUAAAAUUUUCGAAAAACUCGUGGUUUAAAUUUUCUGGAACAUAUAUAUAUUCUAUAAAAAUUGAACUAAGUUUCAGUUCCAAAAUAUUAUGUUUGUGUUUCGAAAAACUUAACUACUAAAUUUUUUAAAAUAAUAAAUGAAUUUUUUUUUCUGUUCUAAAAUUUUUUCUCUUACCGAUGAUGGGAUGAGAAUGUAAUUAUUCUGGAGAAACUUAAUUGAGGGUAAACAGUUGAGUGAUUAAAUAAGAAAAAGUAAAAGAAAUAAAAUGGAUAUUUUGAUAGAAUGUUUGAAGAAUAUGAGUAUUUGUUUAGGUAGAGUGUAAAAUUUGCCCAAUCUAAAAGAAAAGAUCAAGAGCCCAUACCUCAACUGAGGUGCAAGAGAAAUAAUAUUAAAUCCAAGUAUGAG